rnacentral:rRNA from 1 species
GGGAUUGCCCUAGUAACGGCGAGUGAAGCGGCAACAGCUCAAAUUUGAAAUCUGGCUCUUUCAGAGUCCGAGUUGUAAUUUGCAGAGGGCGCUUUGGCGUUGGCAGCGGUCCAAGUUCUUUGGAACAGGACGUCACAGAGGGUGAGAAUCCCGUACGUGGUCGCUAGCCUUCGCCGUGUAAAGCCCCUUCGACGAGUCGAGUUGUUUGGGAAUGCAGCUCUAAAUGGGAGGUAAAUUUCUUCUAAAGCUAAAUACUGGCCAGAGACCGAUAGCGCACAAGUAGAGUGAUCGAAAGAUGAAAAGCACUUUGGAAAGAGAGUCAAAUAGCACGUGAAAUUGUUGAAAGGGAAGCGCUUGCAGCCAGACUUGCCUGUAGUUGCUUAUCCGGACUUUUGUCCGGUGCACUCUUCUGCGGGCAGGCCAGCAUCAGUUUGGGCGGUUGGAUAAAGGUCUCUGUCAUGUACCUCCUUUCGGGGAGGCCUUAUAGGGGAGACGACAUACAACCAGCCUGGACUGAGGUCCGCGCAUCUGCUAGGAUGCUGGCGUAAUGGCUGUAAGCGGCCCGUCUUGAAACACGGACCAAGGAGUCUAACAUCUAUGCGAGUGUUUGGGUGUCAAGCCCAGACGCGUAAUGAAAGUGAACGGAGGUGGGAACCUUUUAGGUGCACCAUCGACCGAUCCUGAUGUCUUCGGAAGGAUUUGAGUAAGAGCAUGGCUGUUGGGACCCGAAAGAUGGUGAACUAUGCUUGAAUAGGGUGAAGCCAGAGGAAACUCUGGUGGAGGCUCGCAGCGGUUCUGACGUGCAAAUCGAUCGUCAAAUUUGGGCAUAGGGGCGAAAGACUAAUCGAACUAUCUAGUA